rnacentral:tRNA from 1 species
CACUGAGAAGCUGAAUAGGGGAUAGCGUUAGCCUUUUAAGCUAAAGAAUGGUGACUCCCGACCACCCUUAGUGA